GAGGCAAUAGCUCAGUGGUAGAGUGUGUGCUUAACAUGCACUGGGUUCGAUCCCCAGUGCCUCC
rnacentral:tRNA from 1 species